AAGGAAUGGUGUAGGCACUUUCUAAGCAUCUCCUUCAAUCUCUCCCAACUUUUAUAAAUGAUUCUCUUUUUAAUUGAGUAAAAGAAGUAAUAUCAUUUCUAAGUUU